rnacentral:rRNA from 1 species
CCGAUGGCGACCGGCGCACGGGUGAGUAACACGUAUCCAACCUGCCGAUAACUCGGGGAUAGCCUUUCGAAAGAAAGAUUAAUAUCCGAUAGGAUAUCAAGGUCGCAUGAUCUUGAUAUUAAAGAAUUUCGGUUAUCGAUGGGGAUGCGUUCCAUUAGUUAGUUGGCGGGGUAACGGCUCACCAAGACAACGAUACAUAGGGGGACUGAGAGGUUAACCCCCCACAUUGGUACUGAGACACGGACCAAACUCCUACGGAAGGCAGCAG